UACGGAGGGUGCGAGCGUUGUCCGGAAUCACUGGGCGUAAAGGGCGCGUAGGUGGCGACUCAAGUCAACGGUGAAAGCUCGACGCUCAACGUCGAGUCGGCCGUCGAAACUGGGACGCUUGAGCACUGUAGAGGCAGAGUGGAAUUCCGGGUGUAGCGGUGGAAUGACGUAGAGAGUCCGGAAGAACACCGGUGGCGAAGGCGGUCGCUGG
rnacentral:rRNA from 1 species